rnacentral:rRNA from 1 species
CGUAGGGUGCGAGCGUUAAUCGGAAUUACUGGGCGUAAAGCGUGCGCAGGCGGUUUUGUAAGACAGGCGUGAAAUCCCCCGGGCUCAACCUGGGAACUGCGCUUGUGACUGCAAGGCUAGAGUACGGCAGAGGGGGUGGAAUUCCACGUGUAGCAGUGAAAUGCGUAGAGAUGUGGAGGAACACCAAUGGCGAAGGCAGCCCCCUGGGUCGAUACUGACGCUCAUGCACGAAAGCGUGGGUAGCAAACAGGAUUAGAUACCCCUGGUAGUCCACGCCCUAAACGAUGUCAACUAGGUGUUGGGUGGGUAAAACCAUUUAGUACCGGAGCUAACGCGUGAAGUUGACCGCCUGGGGAGUACGGCCGCAAGGUU